rnacentral:rRNA from 1 species
ACACAGGUGGUCAGGUAGAGAAUACCAAGGCGCUUGAGAGAACUCGGGUGAAGGAACUAGGCAAAAUGGUGCCGUAACUUCGGGAGAAGGCACGCUGAUAUGUAGGUGAAGCGACUUGCUCGUGGAGCUGAAAUCAGUCGAAGAUACCAGCUGGCUGCAACUGUUUAUUAAAAACACAGCACUGUGCAAACACGAAAGUGGACGUAUACGGUGUGACGCCUGCCCGGUGCCGG